rnacentral:rRNA from 1 species
GAGUUUGAUCGUGGCUCAGAUUGAACGCUGGCGGCAUGCCUUACACAUGCAAGUCGAACGGCAGCACGGGAGCUUGCUCCUGGUGGCGAGUGGCGAACGGGUGAGUAAUGCAUCGGAACGUAUCCUGGAGUGGGGGAUAACGUAGCGAAAGUUACGCUAAUACCGCAUAUUCUGUGAGCAGGAAAGCGGGGGACCUUCGGGGCCUCGCGCUCUUGGAGCGGCCGAUGUCGGAUUAGCUAGUUGGUGAGGUAAAGGCUCACCAAGGCGACGAUCCGUAGCAGGUCUGAGAGGAUGAUCUGCCACACUGGAACUGAGACACGGUCCAGACUCCUACGGGAGGCAGCAGUGGGAAUUUGGACAAUGGGGGCAACCCUGAUCCAGCCAUGCCGCGUGAGUAGGAGAAGGCCUCGGUUGUAAG